rnacentral:lncRNA from 12 species
AAGUGAACUUUGAAAGAAAAGUCCCUUUCUAGGGAGCAGAGCUGAGCUGUGUGGUCUGUGCAUCCCUUCCCGUCUGAGUAAACACUCCACCCAAAGUGGGGCUCAAACUCAUGACCCUGACUGAGAUCAAGAGUCAUAUGUUCCUCCAACUGAGCUAACCAGGUGCCCACUUUCAUUUCUUCUUUAUAACAGCUUUAUUGAGAUAUAAUUCAUACCAUAUAAUUUAUUUGUU